AUCCUGGUGCACGGGUUUUACACGUGUCAGUGAGGAGACAUCCGAGACCGUGUUUUUGCUAGUUGAAAACUACUUUUUUGACCGCUCUGACUGGCCUUCGGGUCGGUCAGGAAUUUUUGAAAAAAAAAUACU
rnacentral:snRNA from 1 species